GACAAACACAUGUUAGUGAUUUGAAAGGGGCAAAUGCUCCACUAUAAGCUGGACCUGCGUUGUAUUAGCUAGUUGGUAGGGUAAAGGCCUACCAAGGCUGCGAUACAUAGCCGACCUGAGAGGGUGAACGGCCACACUGGGACUGAGACACGGCCCAGACUCCUACGGGAGGCAGCAGUAGGGAAUCUUCGGCAAUGGGGGGAACCCUGACCGAGCAACGCCGCGUGAGUGAAGAAGGUUUUCGGAUCGUAAAGCUCUGUUGUCAGAGAAGAACGGGUGUGAGAGUGGAAAGUUCACACAGUGACGGUACCUGACGAGAAAGGGACGGCUAACUACGUGCCAGCAGCCGCGGUAAUACGUAGGUCCCGAGCGUUGUCCGGAUUUAUUGGGCGUAAAGCGAGCGCAGGCGGCUCUGUAAGUCUGAAGUAAAAGGCAGUGGCUUAACCAUUGUGUGCUUUGGAAACUGCGGGGCUUGAGUGCAGAAGGGGAGAGUGGAAUUCCAUGUGUAGCGGUGAAAUGCGUAGAUAUAUGGAGGAACACCGGUGGCGAAAGCGGCUCUCUGGUCUGAGACUGACGCUGAGGCUCGAAAGCGUGGGUAGCGAACAGGAUUAGAUACCCUGGUAGUCCACGCCGUAAACGCUGAGUGCUAGGUGUUAGGCCCUUUCCGGGGCUUAGUGCCGUAGCUAACGCAAUAAGCACUCCGCCUGGGGAGUACGACCGCAAGGUUGAAACUCAAAGGAAUUGA
rnacentral:rRNA from 1 species